rnacentral:tRNA from 1 species
GAGGCUCGCACGACGGGGCGAGGUCUCUGGUUCAAGUCCAGGAUGGCCCA